CAUCUCCUAAGGCUAAAUACUCUCUAGUGACCGAUAGUGAACCAGUACCGUGAGGGAAAGGUGAAAAGCACCCCGGAAGGGGAGUGAAAUAGAACCUGAAACCGUGUGCUUACAAGUAGUCAGAGCCCGUUAAUGGGUGAUGGCGUGCCUUUUGUAGAAUGAACCGGCGAGUUACGAUUUGAUGCAAGGUUAAGCAGUAAAUGUGGAGCCGUAGCGAAAGCGAGUCUGAAUAGGGCGUUUAGUAUUUGGUCGUAGACCCGAAACCAGGUGAUCUACCCUUGGUCAGGUUGAAGUUCAGGUAACACUGAAUGGAGGACCGAACCGACUUACGUUGAAAAGUGAGCGGAUGAACUGAGGGUAGCGGAGAAAUUCCAAUCGAACCUGGAGAUAGCUGGUUCUCUCCGAAAUAGCUUUAGGGCUAGCCUCAAGUGAUGAUUAUUGGAGGUAGAGCACUGUUUGGACGAGGGGCCCCUCUCGGGUUACCGAAUUCAGACAAACUCCGAAUGCCAAUUAAUUUAACUUGGGAGUCAGAACAUGGGUGAUAAGGUCCGUGUUCGAAAGGGAAACAGCCCAGACCACCAGCUAAGGUCCCAAAAUAUAUGUUAAGUGGAAAAGGAUGUGGCGUUGCCCAGACAACUAGGAUGUUGGCUUAGAAGCAGCCAUCAUUUAAAGAGUGCGUAAUAGCUCACUAGUCGAGUGACACUGCGCCGAAAAUGUACCGGGGCUAAACAUAUUACCGAAGCUGUGGAUUGUCCUUUGGACAAUGGUAGGAGAGCGUUCUAAGGGCGUUGAAGCAUGAUCGUAAGGACAUGUGGAGCGCUUAGAAGUGAGAAUGCCGGUGUGAGUAGCGAA
rnacentral:rRNA from 1 species